AGUAACGCGUGGGUAACCGUGCCUCACACAGGGGAGUAACAGUUGGAAACGGCUGCUAAUACCGCAUAAGCGCACAGUACCGCAUGGUACAGUGUGAAAAACUCCGGUGGUGUGAGAUGGACCCGCGUCUGAUUAGCUAGUUGGCAGGGCAACGGCCUACCAAGGCGACGAUCAGUAGCCGACCUGAGAGGGUGACCGGCCACAUUGGGACUGAGACACGGCCCAA
rnacentral:rRNA from 1 species